rnacentral:rRNA from 1 species
UACGGUGAAGCCGCGAAUAGCUCAUUACAACAGCCACCGUUUAUUAGAAUAUCGUUGUCCUACUUGGAUAACUGUGGCAAUUCUAGAGCUAAUACAUGCAAAAAAGCUCUGCCCGCAAGGAACGAGCGCAUUUAUUAGAAUAAAAACCAAUCAGGCUUCGGCCUGUAAUUUGGUGAAUCUGAAUAACUUUGCCAAUCGCACAGUCCUAGUACUGGCGAUGUAUCUUUCAAGUGUCUGCCUUAUCAACUUUCGAUGGUAGGUUAUACGCCUACCAUGGUAGUAACGGGUAACGGAGAAUAAGGGUUCGACUCCGGAGAGGGAGCCUGAGAAACGGCUACCACAUCCAAGGAAGGCAGCAGGCGCGCAAAUUACCCACUUCCAGAACGGAGAGGUAGUGACGAAAAAUAACGAGACAGUCCUCUUCGAGGUCUGUCAUCGGAAUGGGUACAAUUUAAAUCCUUUAACGAGGAUCUAUUGGAGGGCAAGUCUGGUGCCAGCAGCCGCGGUAAUUCCAGCUCCAAUAGCGUAUAUUAAAGUUGUUGCGGUUAAAACGCUCGUAGUUGGAUCUGCGGCCGAGGAGGACGGUCCCCCGAAAGGGCGGUCACUGUCUCUCCUAGCCUAAAUUCGAGUCGUCUCUAGGUGCUCUUUACCGGGUGCCUAGAGUGACUAGAACGUUUACUUUGAAAAAAUUAGAGUGCUUAAAGCAGGCGAAAUAGCCUGAAUAAGGUGCAUGGAAUAAUGGAAUAGGACCUCGGUUCUAUUUUGUUGGUUUUCGGAGCCCGAGGUAAUGAUUAAGAGGAACAGACGGGGGCA